rnacentral:rRNA from 1 species
UACUUGCCGUAUUAAGGUGAAACCGCGAAUGGCUCAUUAAAUCAGUUAUGGUUCCUUAGAUUGUACCCACAUUUACUUGGAUAACUGUGGUAAUUCUAGAGCUAAUACAUGCAAACCAGAGUUCCGACCAGAGAUGGGAGGAACGCUUUUAUUAGAUCAAAACCAAUCGGUGGCUUCGGCCAUCGUUUACUUUGGUGACUCUGAAUAACUUUWAGCUGAUCGCAUGGUCYUGWACCRGCGACAAAUCUUUCAARUSUCUGCCUUAUCAACUGUCGAUGGUAGGUUCUGCGCCUACMAUGGUUGUAACGGGUAACGGGGAAUCAGGGUUCGAUUCCKGAGAGGGAGCCUGAGAAACGGCUACCACAUCCAAGGWAKGCAGCAGGCGCGCUAAAUKACCCACUCCYGKCACGGGGAGGUAGUGACGAARAAUAACGAUACGGGACUCAUCCGAGGCCUCGUAAUCGGAAUGAGUACACUUUAAAUCCUUUAACGAGGAACAAUUGGAGGGCAAGUCUGGUGCCAGCAGCCGCGGUAAUUCCAGCUCCAAUAGCGUAUAUUAAAGUUGUUGCGGUUAAAAAGCUCGUAGUUGAAUCUGUGUGCCACACUGUCGGUUCACCGCUCGCGGUGUAAACUGGCAUGCUUGUGGGACGUCCUACCGGUGGAUUUAGUAUUUAGUCGAAAGAUUUAAAUACGAUCCAAUAAUCCUGUCGCGGUGCUCUUAAUUGAGUGUCGAGAUGGGCCGGUACGUUUACUUUGAACAAAUUAGAGUGCUCAAAGCAGGCUAAUUAUUGCCUGAAUACUGUGUGCAUGGAAUAAUAGAAUAGGACCUCGGUUCUAUUUUGUUGGUUUUCGGAAGCCCGAGGUAAUGAUUAAUAGGGACAGAUGGGGGCAUUCGUAUUGCGACGUUAGAGGUGAAAUUCUUGGAUCGUCGCAAGACGAACAGAAGCGAAAGCAUUUGCCAAAAAUGUUUUCAUUAAUCAAGAACGAAAGUUAGAGGUUCGAAGGCGAUCAGAUACCGCCCUAGUUCUAACCAUAAACGAUGCCAGCUAGCGAUCCGCCGAAGUUCCUCCGAUGACUCGGCGGGCAGCUUCCGGGAAACCAAAGCUUUUGGGUUCCGGGGGAAGUAUGGUUGCAAAGCUGAAACUUAAAGGAAUUGACGGAAGGGCACCACCAGGAGUGGAGCCUGCGGCUUAAUUUGACUCAACACGGGAAACCUCACCAGGCCCGGACACCGGAAGGAUUGACAGAUUGAUAGCUCUUUCUUGAUUCGGUGGGUGGUGGUGCAUGGCCGUU